rnacentral:ncRNA from 1 species
UCAUAUAAAACAUCCAUAAGUGCUUGAAUAUUUUCAAGAUAAUAGGGAAAUCGGUGAGAACCCGAUACAGCCCCCGCUACUGUAAUAGCUGAUGAAAUCGCGGAUGCCACUAGUGAAAGCUUAGGAAGGCGCGAAAGUAAAAGGAAGCUUAAGUCAGGAAACCUGCUUAUGUGAUGAUGCAUGC